UUAAUUACUUUAUAUAAUUUUACACUUUCGUGUAGUUAUAUAGUAUUAACAUAAUUCAUAUUACUAUUUUUAGUAUAUGAAAUUUUACUUUGAGAAAAUUAGAGUGCUUAAAGCAGGCUUUUGCCUUGAAUACUUCAGCAUGGAAUAAUAAUUAAAGAUUUUUAUCUUUCUUAUUGGUUCUAAGAUAAAAAUAAUGAUUAAUAGGGACAGUUGGGGGCAUUUGUAUUUAACAGUUAGAGGUGAAAUUCUUAGAUUUGUUAAAGACAAACUAGUGCGAAAGCAUUUGCCAAGGAUGUUUUCAUUAAUCAAGAACGAAAGUUAGGGGAUCGAAGACGAUCAGAUACCGUCGUAGUCUUAACCAUAAACUAUGCCAACUAGAGAUUGGAGGUUGUU
rnacentral:rRNA from 1 species